AUCCAGCCGAUGAGUCCCGAAUUGAACGAAACGCUCAUCCUGGAU
rfam:Schistosoma haematobium scaffold705_10, whole genome shotgun sequence.